UUGUACGCUGGCGGCCGGCCUAACACAUGCAAGUCGCGCGGAUGAAGGGAGCUUGCUCCUGGAUUCAGCGGCGGACGGGUGAGUAAUGCCUAGGAAUCUGCCUGGUAGUGGGGGAUAACGUCCGGAAACGGGCGCUAAUACCGCAUACGUCCUGCGGGAGAAAGUGGGGGAUCUUCGGACCUCACGCUAUCAGAUGAGCCUAGGUCGGAUUAGCUAGUUGGUGGGGUAAAGGCCUACCAAGGCGACGAUCCGUAACUGGUCUGAGAGGAUGAUCAGUCACACUGGAACUGAGACACGGUCCAGACUCCUACGGGAGGCAGCAGUGGGGAAUAUUGGACUAUGGGCGAAAGCCUGAUCCAGCCAUGCCGCGUGUGUGAAGAAGGUCUUCGGAUUGUAAAGCACUUUAAGUUGGGAGGAAGGGCAGUAAGUUAAUACCUUGCUGUUUUGACGUUACCAACAGAAUAAGCACCGGCUAACUUCGUG
rnacentral:rRNA from 1 species